rnacentral:rRNA from 1 species
GUAGGGUCCAAGCGUUAAUCGGAAUUACUGGGGCGUAAAGCGUGCGCAGGCGGUUGUGCAAGACCGAUGUGAAAUCCCCCGGGGCUUAACCUGGGAAUUGCAUUGGUGACUGCACGGCUAGAGUGUGUCAGAGGGGGGUAGAAUUCCACGUGUAGCAGUGAAAUGCGUAGAGAUGUGGAGGAAUACCGAUGGCGAAGGCAGCCCCCUGGGAUAACACUGACGCUCAUGCACGAAAGCGUGGGGAGCAAACAGGAUUAGAUACCCUGGUAGUCCACGCCCUAAACGAUGUCAACUAGUUGUUGGGGAUUCAUUUCCUUAGUAACGUAGCUAACGCGUGAAGUUGACCGCCUGGGGAGUACGGUCGCAAGAUUA